rnacentral:rRNA from 1 species
AUGUGUGAGAACAAGGAGCCAAAAAUAUUGGAAAACGACCAUAAGAUAGAUAACAGAUUCAGUGAUUUGGUUAUUAUGGAGGUUGAUGGAACUUGGUCUACUGUCGGAAUUCAGAGCCAUAAAGCAUUGGACUUGGACAAGAGCUCUUCCAUGGCAGCAACCAGCAGUCCAAGGCCAAGCAAGCUAUCUCAAGGGAGGGGAUUCUCAAGUCACCCCACUUCCAAUCCAUGGACGCUAUCCACAAGGACCAAGAUGACGACGACCAGGAAGGAAGGAGCCCACGCCCGACCCCGACGACGGCGGUUCCAUUUGUGUGCCGACGUCGACCACAACCUCCCUCUCUAUAAUAUGAACAGCGGGGGGCGUCUGAGCCUGCAGUCGGAGUAG